rnacentral:rRNA from 1 species
AUUGCCUUAGUAACGGCGAGUGAAGCGGCAAAAGCUCAAAUUUGAAAUCUGGUACCUUCGGUGCCCGAGUUGUAAUUUGGAGAGGGCAACUUUGGGGCCGUUCCUUGUCUAUGUUCCUUGGAACAGGACGUCAUAGAGGGUGAGAAUCCCGUGUGGCGAGGAGUGCGGUUCUUUGUAAAGUGCCUUCGAAGAGUCGAGUUGUUUGGGAAUGCAGCUCUAAGUGGGUGGUAAAUUCCAUCUAAAGCUAAAUAUUGGCGAGAGACCGAUAGCGAACAAGUACAGUGAUGGAAAGAUGAAAAGAACUUUGAAAAGAGAGUGAAAAAGUACGUGAAAUUGUUGAAAGGGAAGGGCAUUUGAUCAGACAUGGUGUUUUGUGCCCUCUGCUCCUUGUGGGUAGGGGAAUCUCGCAUUUCACUGGGCCAGCAUCAGUUUUGGUGGCAGGAUAAAUCCAUAGGAAUGUAGCUUGCCUCGGUAAGUAUUAUAGCCUGUGGGAAUACUGCCAGCUGGGACUGAGGACUGCGACGUAAGUCAAGGAUGCUGGCAUAAUGGUUAUAUGCCGCCCGUCUUGAAACACGGACCUCCUGUGUGAAGUGA